rnacentral:tRNA from 1 species
GAUUAAUGAUCUUGAAUAAGACUAUAUUUUGAAAAUAUAUUAAAGAAAUAAAUAAUUUUCUAUUAAUUU